rnacentral:lncRNA from 1 species
UAUGCAUUUCAAGCCCUACAAAACCUGAUUCCAGGAGUUGUACCAUUUAUCUGUGGUCAUGAAUUUUGUAAACAAAGCUAAGGAAAAGUCAACAGUGAUUCAGGGCAGAUUCGUGGCUACAUGACUUCCUCCUGGGCUGGCCUGGCUGGACUGAGUGUUGAGUGGGGGUGGGUCAACACUACUCCCUCAGUGGUCCCCUAAAGUAAAAUACAAGUGUUCUCUGUCUCUCCGCUGUCCUUCACAUCCCCUAAAAAGAGAAGUAAAUUAUCAAGGAAGGAAGGAAAAUAAAGAUGACAAAUACUUCAUGGUAGCAGAAUAUCAUGAUUCUGAGCUACCAACAGAAAAUGCAUUGCAUUGGCUUACUCUACGUCAUCAGGGUCACAGUGAUCCUGCAACAUGAUUGAAAUUCCAGGGUAAAAUGUCUGUAGCAGUCAGAAGUGGGAGGAAGAGGGAAGUUAGAAGCAAGAGAAAAAGGGAGGAAGGACAUGUGACAAAGGCAGUGAAUAUGAUUAAUGAGUCCAAUUCUUCCUUAUGUCACCUGUGGCCUCCCUGAGCAUCAAAAAAGAAAUAAUGGGCUGGGAUCCGGUCAUCCACAUUCCUUCUCCCUACCCCACCCCUUCCUCAGCAUUUCCUCAGUAUGUCAGGCUCUGGUCCAAUAGCUCUAUGUGGCAAAAAGGGAGGAAGACAACAGGCAGUCAGAGGCGGGGCUGAGUCCAGUUCCUGGUUCUGGCCAGGGCAGAAUUCAGAUUUUCAGGGCUUCAAGCAAAGAAAAGACUAUGGAGCCACCAUAUUCCCAUACAUAUAUGCUGAAAUUAGGAUAAUUGUUUUUCUGGGUUUUGUGAUUUUGACAUUUUAAAAAAGCCGAUUGGAACUGAACUUCCAACUUUCUCUCUCUCUCUACACUAACACCUUUCUGGCCCUUACUGAUGCUGUGACCUUAGGAGAGUCCCUUAUCACUAUGAGUCUGUUUGCUCAUCUAUAAAGGUGGUGUGUCAUGAUUCUUUAAUCUCCGUGAGUCUAUUAGUGAUCAUUCGGUUUCAUCUUCUAAAGCAAAACAAUUUUAAAUACCCCUGCUCUGGCUUGUACAUUCUACUGACAUGUACAGAGUUGAGAAUUCUAGUCCAGAUUAGUGAGGACAUCCUAUGUAUGUGGUGAUACAUCUGAUUUUACUUAUUCUACAAAUGUUCACUGAAUACCUACCAGGUAACAGCUGCUGAGUGUACGGUGAUGAAUGAAGCAGAAAUUCUCCUCGCCUUGCCCAGUAGAAUACUUCAGUGGAGCUUGCAGUCUAUUAACUGUAAUGGUGGAGCCUGAGAUCAGCCCAGGUGUCUGAUUCUAGAAGCUACCCUCUUAGUCACAAUCUAAGAUGGUGGUGAAGAGCCUGACUCUGCAGUUAGGCAGCCUGGGUUCAAAUCUCAGUUGUGUCACUUCCUUCCUUAGUGACCCUGAGCAACUUUCUUAACCUCUCUGUACUGAUAUUUUCUUGUUUUUUAAAACCAAGCUAAAAAUGGCAAAUCCAAAUGCCCAAAGUAGAUGUCCUGACAUACUCAGGUUAGAGGCACAACUCUUCUGCCAGAACUUGUGCUACGGCUUGCUAUGCAAGGGACAAUGGUGAGUUUGCUCCACAAUGCAUGCCUAGCGUUUGGCCAAAGAGGGAAGAAUGAUUCUCUCCCCAUUGUGUGUCUUAAUUUGGCAUCUAGGUUAAGCAGUUCUAUCCUGAUGUCCUAUUGAGAUUUUAGAGAAAAAACCCUUUUCAGUUUUAACUCAAGGGCCAUUUUAACUUUACCAUCUUCUCCCCAGAUUUGUAAAAAUAUCCUUGGUGACUUAAGAGAUCCUUGGGGGCUACUGGAGACCCAGCAGGUCGUGGUCGAGGGUGAUCCAGAUUUUUCCUGUCCUCUCAUCCUUCUCUUUGAGCUUCCCAACAUCUGCUUUUCCCUCAAAAUAAUUAAUCCACUUCACAAAAAGAUAUUACCAAGAAAUGUCGAUUUACAUAAGAUUUUAUGGAAACAAAAGACAAGACAGUUAACAACCCAUAUCCCACAGAUGACCACUUGAAAAUUCCUGUUGGACGUUUCACCAUUUCUCUUCUCCAGACUCCUCUUUCCUGCCACGUUACUACCAGUGGUCUCCCUCUUUCCCUUCAAGGGUGCCCUGCUUCAUUGCUCCUCUCCUCCUGUUCCCAAAGGCCAGCCUCCUUAGAAGGCAGUGGGGGUUACAAACACCAAAAAAAAUUUCAAGUAGACAAGUAACAGAUGCUUCCCCAUAUUCAAAAAACCCACCAGCCCAUCAUCCUCAAAGCUUUAAAACUGGGAAAACCUUGUCUACCUGUUCCCUUAGGAUCCAUCCUUCACUAAGACACUCUUGGCAUUUCGUGUAAUUAGUCUCCAGUGAGGCCAGUCCUCUUCCCACCAAAUGUUACCUGAACACUAGUGGCGAGCAAGCUAUGCCCUGGUUGAAAUAAAGAUGCUGGGUAACAUGUUCCAUUUUCUUCCAUCUUAUCUCUUCAAAGCAGCCUUGCAACACAAAGCUGUGCCAAGAGCAUUUAAUUUUCACCACUGUCCUUCAGGCUUCCAGCCUUCUCUGAACGUGCCUUCCCACCUCCCACCCCGAACAAAACUGUCUGCUUUCUACAUGUUUUCCACAGUACCCCUACUUGCUUCUACCUAACAUUCAACAUCUUGUAAUUUCUUAUUUGCUAAUCCAUUUCCCCUAGUAGACUGUCUAUGAAAGGAGGCAUGUAGUUCUUAACCCAACUGGAAUUUUAGUAUACAUUUGUUGAAUUAACAGAUGAAGGAAAAGCAUACGCUUUACUAUUAACUAUCCUCACUAUAAACUAAUAUAUGUCAUUGCCUUUGCGGCUAACCUCAGAUGUCACAAACCUACAAUGCUAAAUCUGUCAUACUAAGGAUCCUCUGUGCUUUUGUUAAGUUUAUCCAGGCUAUGGUUAACUUCAGAAUUCUCUCCUUUCCAGUGACUGCGAGGGCCUUAUAAAAGAUGCUGCAAUGAAUUUCUUUCUUUAUUUCAUUUGCUUGCUUAUUAUUCUUAUUCCUUCUACAUAAAACGAACAAACAAAACAAAACAAAAGCACAAGCUCUGGUGGCAAAUAGACACGGAUGUGAAACCCAAUUUCACCACUGCUAGCUUUAUGAUCGUGAAAAAUUAGUCUUUUAGUUUCAGUUUCUUACCUAUAAUACUUACAUCCAUAUCAUAGGAUUGUCAAAGAAUUAACUGGUACAUAUCAAGGCCUCCUGGUACAUAGUAGGAUGUUGGUAAAUAUGAAACCUAUUAAAUCUCUUUUUUCUCUUACCCCUUUCUCAUAACUCCCAUUAUUACAGCCUCAAAAUGCUUACCACCUGAUUAUUCAGUACACGAGCUGCUUCUCAUAUUUUCUUUUUAUCUUGGUAUUCUACAGUUUCACAAUGAUAUAGUUAGGUAUAGAUUUGUUCUAUAGAUUUAUUCAUCCUGUUUGGGCUUCUGCAAGCAUCCUGAUUUUGUAGGUUGGUGUCUUUUAUUAGAUCAGCCAUUAUCUUUUUAGAAACUGCUGCUGUCUAUUGUCUCUGUCUUCUGCAACACUGAUUAGAUUUAUGUUAGUGACUCUUCAUACUAGUCUCCAAGUCUCUUAACCUCUCCUUUAUUCUUUCCUUUUCUUUUCUUUUAUUCAUUGAACUUCAUUUUGGAUAGUAUCUUCAGAGCUACUAUAUUCUUUUGUGAGCUGUGUCUAAUCCACUAUUCAAUCCAUACAUGUAUUGUGUGUGUGUGCAUGUGUGUGUGUAUGUAUGUGUGUGUGUGUGUGUGUGUAUGUAUCUAUCUAUCUAUCUAUCUAUCUAUCUAUCUAUAUAUAUAUAUAUAUAUAUAUAUAUAUGCAAUGAGCUGCUCAUUUUGGGAGGGCUCUGUUAAUGAAAACUCUUUAAGACCUGGGGAAAAGAUGGGUUCCAAUAGAAGGGAUUUUCAUUUGUUUCUGUCACGUGUCUUUACAUUAUCAGCCUAAGAUCACUUGAAACUAACUCUUGGCUUAAGAUUUUUCAAGCCACCACAGGUAAUGGUAAUUCUGUCUUCAAAUACAUAUGAAAGUUAGUUUAUGGUUAGACAUUCUCAGGGGAUUUUUUUCUCAACUCUGCUUAUUACUAAGGUUUAAUACAGGCAGUUUUCCUUGAAAUACCUAGAGAGGGGCAAUGUGCACAGGACAUGCAUGUUUAUUGGUAGUUCACCUUGUAUAUCACUAAGGAUAUAGUUCUCUAGUGUCUUUACUUUAUAGAGGGUGUGUAUCUUAUUAAGCUUCCCAUACUAGGCAAGCCCUAGACUUUGUUUUCCAUCCCCAUAAAACUGCAAAGAUAUACAAACUAAAGUUCAAGUUCAUUCUGCGGCAGGAAAUACUCUCAGAAGAUGUAUUCUGAUAUUUGGCUUACCUCUCUAGGUCCCCACCUUCAUUUAAUUUAUAGCCUGCAUGUUCUAGCUCAUGGACACAAUUCAUUUUUUUUCAAUUUGCAUUUUAAGUUGUUUUAGCAAUAGGCUUAGUUUGAGCACCCAAUACACCAGGUUACCCUUUGUAGUUUGUGCAGUCUGAUAUUGGGUCAAGUUGCCGGAUCACCUUGCUUGGUGAUCAGCCUACUACAAAGUCACAGUAUUUAAAUCAUUAUGCUGAGAUGUAUAUGUCAAUGAGGUAGUUGCAUUAUCUUUCUCCACUUUUUUUCUGUAACAUUGCUGUACAUCAUAACGUUGUAAACACUGCUGUAGAAGAAAGAGAAAUAAAGAAGAUAAAGUUAACAAAGAAUCCAAAUUUGGAUCUCUUAAAGGCUGGACUGUUUUCUUUGCCUUUCCCUGAUUAGGACUCUGCUGAGUUGGCCUUCACAUUAGGAAAAUUGAUUAUUUACAAAUGUUUGAACAUUUUCUCACUGACCCCAUGGUUGGGUGUGCCUUUGGGAUAACAAAAGAUGAACAAGCUAAAUAGAUGUAAUUUUAUCCUUCUUUUGAAGGAAAUGUUGAAAGAAAGCA